CUUGAAACGGUUCCACCAGGGCUGUUCUCGCCUCCGACUCAGGAAGAGCUGUAAUUAACACAGCAACAAACGCCCACAACGCUAACUGGCAGAGGGAGUGUAACACGAGCCGCUGCUCCAACCCAACUGGGCCAAAUAUUUAGUUAUGUGAUGCUAUUUGACUCAGAUGUGCAAUCCCAGGGAGCAGGAGCAAAAGAAAAAGGAGAGCAAGACAGGAAAAUCAGGAAAGCCAACACAAGGAUGCAGUUGGAACCGACCACUGCUGAUGCCUAUUGAGUGCUCAGGCUAUAGGACUUAGCCCUUAAGGACUAUCAGCUGCAUCUCAUCAUGACAGAAAGGUAUGGACUAAUCUCCAGAGCAGACAAAUGAGUUGCUGUUUAACAGGCUCUGUGUAAUCUGCUUUGAACACACCAGGUGGAUCUCCAAUUAUAAUGCUUCCCAAGCCUUAGCUUAACAAAAUGAGUUCUAGCUCCCCAUCUUCUCCAUGUGUUGUUUUCAGUAAAUACACAUUUGGCCUUGAAUGAAUGAAGAUUUCACAAACCUUGUUUCAGGA